CAUCACUCAAUUUGCAUAAGUGGCCAUGUACUUGUAAUUGUGAUGGACGCUGUAGGAAAGAUAACGAGAGACAAAAACGGGUCAGACGCCGGGCACCAACCACACCAGGACGUCUCCAAGUAUUCAACCUGAACAUCUGUCGGCACCCCUGAGAUGACUCCUUUGACCGGUGCUCUACUCCAAAGUUCAAAACACAAAACUUCUAUUCUCCGGAUCCUUUUGAGGCCCACAGCAAUCUUCCUCUGCUCUUCAGAAAUACAAUUAAUUAAAAUAAGACUACUCCUGGUCACUCUGACAGACUCUUCCAAGCGCGUACUUCACAAUUUGACACCUGAAACGGGUUUCCCACAUAUGCAUCCCAACAAGAAGCGAUUCAUUAUCAGUUACACACAUAUUCUUCACUCCAAUUUUACACAGACUAGGGAUCAACUCCUGGAGUUCCAGAAGCUUAGGGUCUCCUUCCAUAGGUGACCUGUGGCUAAAGAUCUCAUACACCACCUCAGUGGCUGUCACGAUGGCACAUAUGCCCACAGCGCUUUUUUGCUAUUCUCAUUGCAGGAGGUACAUAAAUCCUUAGAUGAGAGAAAGCCUGCAGGUCCUGAUCUUCUUGAUCCCUGCUUUUUAAAACUGGCAGCUGAUUUCAUAGCUGAACCACUUACCUACCUGUUCAAUCUAACCCUGGAAUUUAAUGAAAUUCCAAAGAUCUGGAAAUCAGCAUUUGUCCUACCACUUUUAAAGGGGACUAUCCAACUAUUUGAAAUAAUUAUAGGCCAAUCUCAAAGCUGUCCCCCCUGGUGAAAAUACUUGAAACCCUUGUUAGUCUAUAAAAACAAUUUUUAUCUGUUCACUAACUCUAUUUUAUCAACGUACCGAUCGGGCUUCAGAAAGAAGCAUAGCACAAUUAUAGCAGCCAUGAAGGUUUUAAAUGAUAUCACUGAAGCCCUUGACAAAAAAACAGCACAGUGUCUCAGUUUUUAUUGAUCUCUAAGGCUUUUGAUAAAGUUGAUCAUGCUAUACUGAGGCAGAGAUUGUCGAGUGUAGGUCUUCCGGAGCAUGCCGUUGCAUGGUUUGCUAACUAUGUGUCUGAUAGAAUAACUCAAUUUGAUGGGCUCAUGUCUGUUAAAUUGUCUGUCUAACGGUGUGCCCCAGGGCUCUGUACUUGGUCCCCUCUCUUAUUCACUAUUUAUAUAAGUAAUUUAGUCAAAAAUGUGCAACUUCACUUUAAUGCUGAUAAUACUGUUAUUUAUUGUUGUGCCUCAUCUCUCACAAAAGCUUUCCAGAACUUGUAAACUGCUUUUUAUACUUUUCAACAUACCUUGUGUCAAUUGAAGCUUAUCCUCAAUACUGACACCUAAACUAAUGGUGUUUGUUUCCUAAGGCAAGAAAUAGACCUUUCACCUAUUACUACCUGUCAGGGCAAUGAGAUUGAGACUGUAACCUCAUAUAAAUAUAUUAGAAUUGAAUUGA